rnacentral:rRNA from 1 species
AAGGAAUCUUCCACAAUGGGCGAAAGCCUGAUGGAGCAACACCGCGUGCAGGAUGACGGUCUUCGGAUUGUAACCUGCUUUUAUUAGAGAAGAUUAUGACGGUAUCUAAUGAAUAAGGACCGGCUAACUACGUGCCAGCAGCCGCGGUAAUACGUAGGGUCCAAGCGUUAUCCGGAAUCACUGGGCGUAAAGCGUGCGUAGGUGGCAUGUUAAGUGUGAUGUUAAAUCGCGGGGCUCAACCCUGUCGCUGCAUCACAUACUGGCAUACUAGAGGACGGCAGAGGCAAGUGGAAUUUGUAGUGUAGCAGUGAAAUGCGUAGAGAUUACAAGGAACACCAAUGGCGAAGGCAGCUUGCUGGGCCAAUCCUGACACUGAGGUACGAAAGCGUGGGGAGCGAAC